rnacentral:lncRNA from 1 species
UGCUAUAUAUAUAUAUAUAUGUCCAUUUAAUUAUAUACUUGUGAUAAAAUUUUUAUCGAAAUAUUAUUUUUUUUGAAACGUAAAAUAAAAGAAUAUGACUAACAAUAUACUGUUAAUUCAGUUUAAAAAAAAUUCUUUUAAAUACACGAACACAUCUUUUCAAAUUAACACAAAAUUCUAAUAAUAACUCCCAUAUAGUAUAAACAAAAAUAAAUAAAUAAAUAAAUAAAUAAAAUAAAAAAGGAAAAAGAGAAAAUGGGAAAAGAAAAAAAUAAAUAUGACUCAAAUAAAGCAGAUAAUUUGUCUAUGCACCAGAAAUUUGUAAAACAUAAAAAAAAAAUAAAAAUUAUAAAACAAAAUAGACAACAAAGCAAAUGAUACAAAAAAACCAAAACAAAAUAAUUUACAAUGUAAAUAUUCCCCCCCCCUUUCUUUUUUCUAUUAUUUUAUUUUUUUUUUUUUUUUUAACAUAAAACUUAUAAAAAAAAAAUAAAAAAGGAUCAAUUAGUUGAUGAUUAUUUUCCCGACUUAAAAGACGAAAAGAAAAAAGAAGAGUUAUUGGAAAGAUGUCCAAGAACGGGUGAUUGGGUAUUUAAAAAUAUAAACAGGGACAAAAUAGAUUACGCGAGAAUACAUGAAAGUGACGGUCCUCCUAUAUUUACCGAUUUGGUGGAAAAUGAAUCUAAAAUUGGAACAGUACAUAUUACAAAUCCUAUGCCUAAAAUUGAAAGGAAAAAUGAGUUAAAAAAAAAUUACUUGGAGUGGUUAAAAACGGAGAAGUUAAUGAAACCCAAUGAAAGAAGAUUAGAAUAUGAACUAAUGCAAAAUAAAUACUUAGAAGUAAACAAAAAGAAUAUUACAAAAAACAUUUUUUUUUUACUUCUUAAGUAUAUGACAUGUUAUAUGUGCAUAUAUAUAUAUAUAUAUAUAUUACUAUCACAACUAUAGACUAUACAACUGUCCAAAGACAUAAAACAAGAUGUUAAACUGGCUA